rnacentral:lncRNA from 1 species
UAGUGGGGUGGGGGCAGGGGCGGGGUCGUGGGGUGUUAAAUGCAGUUGCUGGGCCCCAUCCUGAGAAUUUAUAAUUUGGCAGGAAUGGGGUGGAAUGCAAGAAUUUGCAUUAGUUGGAUGACAGAUGUAAAAAUGAAAGGAAAAAGGACAAAACUAAUAGAAGAAAAUGCAGGUGGUGUUGACUGAAUUCUGCCUGCUAAAAUGAUAGGUUGAAUUCCUAAGCCUUGGUUCUUGUGAAUGUGACUUUAUUCUCCUCCUGCCUCAGCCUCCCAAGUAGCUGGGACUAUAGGCACACACCACCAUGCCCAGCUAAUUUUCGUAUUUUUAGUAGAGAUGGGGUUUCCAUGUUGGUCAGGCUGGUCUCAAACUCCUGCCCUCAAGUGAUCCGCCCACCUCGGCCUCCCAAAGUGCUGGGAUUACAGGCGUGAGCCACCAUGCCUGGCUAUUUUUCCAUUGUUUUUUAAUUCCAUACUUGUAAAAGUUUAAAAGACAUUUGGGAGAUUAGGUGAUAAAAGAUGAUAAAAUGCCUGUUAUCUCCUGUUGCUAUCAUUUAAUAAAAGAAACAAAAAAUUAGGAAGGCUCUAACCUUAGCAUGAACAGUCCUUCACAAGGAAAGACAACUGGCACCUACACUCACAUUUAAAAAUGAAAAUAUUUCAGUUAUUUGAAAAAGAAGUUAUACAACAUUUUCUCAUUUUGUACUAUUUGGAUAUAAUUGUUUCUUUAAUACAAGUCAGUUACAGUAAUAUACUGGGUAGUGAAUUACACAGUAGUUCUUUAAGAAUUGCUUUAAGAAGUAAUGUCCUACUUCUUUAGGUCAAUUGUUUAGUUUUGACCUAAAGAAGUAGGAAAUUCACCCGGGCAUGGUGG